rnacentral:ribozyme from 1 species
AAGGGGCGCGAUACAUCGCUGACAAUGGUGGGAGGUGAAGGCAGCAAGAAGGUCAGUGCGGAGAAGAACACAAAUGCAAUGAAGAGCAAGCCUCGAUCGGAGCCUCUUCCCCCUCCCAUACCCGAGG